GGAGGGGGCAAGCGUUAUUCGGAAUCAUUGGGCGUAAAGGGCGCGUAGGCGGCUUGGCAAGUCAAAGGUGAAAUCCCUCGGCCCAACCGAGGAACUGCCUUUGAAACUGCUUGGCUCGAGGCCGGGAGAGGGUAGCGGAAUUCCCAGUGUAGCGGUGAAAUGCGUAGAUAUUGGGAGGAACACCAGUGGCGAAGGCGGCUACCUGGACCGGUUCUGACGCUGAGGCGCGAAAGCGUGGGGAGCAAACAGGAUUAGAUACCCUGGUAGUCCACGCCGUAAACGAUGGGUACUCGGUGUCGCGGGUAUCGACCCCUGCGGUGCCUUAGCUAACGCGUUAAGUACCCCGCCUGGGGAGUACGGUCGCAAGGCUGAA
rnacentral:rRNA from 1 species